AUUGAACGCUGGCGGCAGGCUUAACACAUGCAAGUCGAGCGGAGAUGAGGUGCUUGCACCUUAUCUUAGCGGCGGACGGGUGAGUAAUGCUUAGGAAUCUGCCUAUUAGUGGGGGACAACAUUCCGAAAGGAAUGCUCAUACCGCAUACGUCCUACGGGAGAAAGCAGGGGAUCUUCGGACCUUGCGCUAAUAGAUGAGCCUAAGUCGGAUUAGCUAGUUGGUGGGGUAAAGGCCUACCAAGGCGACGAUCUGUAGCGGGUCUGAGAGGAUGAUCCGCCACACUGGGACUGAGACACGGCCCAGACUCCUACGGGAGGCAGCAGUGGGGAAUAUUGGACAAUGGGGGGAACCCUGAUCCAGCCAUGCCGCGUGUGUGAAGAAGGCCUUAUGGUUGUAAAGCACUUUCAGCGAGGAGGAAGGGUGGUGUGUUAAUAGCACAUCAUUUUGACGUUACUCGCAGAAGAAGCACCGGCUAACUCUGUGCCAGCAGCCGCCGUAACAC
rnacentral:rRNA from 1 species